UCAGGAAUUAGAAUACUAGAGGUUUCUGGG
rnacentral:piRNA from 1 species